rnacentral:lncRNA from 1 species
AUGAUCCACCAAACCUGGAACCAGCAGGCAGUCCCUCCAGAGAGGGUAUAUACCUGGAGGGGCGAUUGGGGGUCUGACUCCCUCUCCUCAGAUGACGACGAAGCGGUCUAUGAGAGAGUGGAGGAGGAUCCCCUUGGGGCGCAGUGCUGGGGGUUGCCCCAAGACGGGUUCGGGGUGCCGCUGUGGGGCAUGGACCAGUAUGGAGUGGUCAAGCCCCUCACCAAAGAGCAAGGGGAGCUGGUGAAGGGUCUCCUGCAGGACAUGCAGGAGGCAGGAAGGACAGGACGCAGGCGAGGCCGGAGGAAGAAGAGGGCGAGGUGCCCAACGCUUGGUCCGAGGUCCCCCCAGGAAAAUUUUAGGGGGGGGCUGAGUGGGUGCCCGGGGGAAGUCCCGACGGCGCCCCCUCUAUGUCCGGUGCCUCCUCGACCCCGUGCAGGCUGGCCAGGCUGUAGGCUGGCAAUUAGGCGCACACCGCUUCCUGCUCCGCGGCCUUCCGCCGCCCCUGUCCCUGCGCCACGGCGCCGAUUGCCCACUGCUGCUUUGGAGCAGCAGCCAGCGCCUCCUACCUGCCAGCAGCGGCAGUCAGCGCCCCCUGCUGCAUUGGAGCAGCAGCCAGCGCCUCCUACCUGCCAGCAGCGGCAGUCAGCGUCCCCUGCUGCUUUGGAGCAGCAGCCAGUGCCUCCUACCUGCCAGCAGCGGCAGUCAGCGCCCCCUGCUGCAUUGGAGCAGCAGCCAGCGCCUCCUUCCUGCCAGUGGCAGCAGCCUGCACCGCCUGAGGCCGAGGAGGAGUGGCCUGCACCGCCUGAGGCCGAGGAGGAGUGGCCUGCACCGCCUGAGGCCGAGGAGGAGUGGCCUGCACCGCCUGAGGCCGAGGAGGAGUGGCCUGCACCGCCUGAGGCUGCCGGGGUUUGGCUGCCACCGCCCUCUCCUGUCCCGGCCGCCCCGGCGCCUCCUUCGGCUCUUCCGGCUACCGACCCUCCUUCGGCUCUUCCGGCUACCGACCCUCCUUCGCUCUUCCGGCUACCGACCCUCCUUCGGCUCUUCCGGCUACCGACCCUCCUUCGGCUCUUCCGGCUACCGACCCUCCUUCGGCUCUUCCGGCUACCGACCCUCCUUCGGCUCUCCCGGCUACCGACCCUCCUUCGGCUCUCCCGGCUACCGACCCUCCUUCGGCUCUCCCGGCUACCGACCCUCCUUCGGCUCUCCCGGCUACCGACCCUCCUUCGGCUCUCCCGGCUACCGACCCUCCUUCGGCUCUCCCGGCUACCGACCCUCCGUCGGCUCUCCCGGCUACCGACCCUCCGUCGGCUCUUCCGGCUACCGACCCUCCGUCGGCUCUUCCGGCUACCGACCCUCCGUCGGCUCUUCCGGCUACCGACCCUCCGUCGGCUCUUCCGGCUACCGACCCUCCGUCGGCUCUUCCGGCUACCGACCCUCCGUCGGCUCUUCCGGCUACCGACCCUCCGUCGGCUCUUCCGGCUACCGACCCUCCGUCGGCUCUUCCGGCUACCGACCCUCCGUCGGCUCUUCCGGCUACCGACCCUCCGUCGGCUCUUCCGGCUACCGACCCUCCGUCGGCUCUUCCGGCUACCGACCCUCCGUCGGCUCUUCCGGCUACCGACCCUCCGUCGGCUCUUCCGGCUACCGACCCUCCGUCGGCUCUCCCGGCCUCUGACCCUCCGCCGGCUACCGACCCUCCGUCGGCUCUCCCGGCCUCUGACCCUCCGCCGGCUACCGACCCUCCGUCGGCUCUCCCGGCCUCUGACCCUCCGCCGGCUACCGACCCUCCGUCGGCUCUUCCGGCCUCUGACCCUCCGCCGGCUACCGACCCUCCGUCGGCUCUCCCGGCCCCUGACCCUCCGCCGGCUCCUGUUCUUCAGCCGGUUCUGCCUCCCCGGCCUGUCCCGACGGCUCCGCCACCCUGGUUAG